UAUAUUUUAAUGUUUAUGCAUAUAAAUUUUUGAAUUUUAAAGUAAUAAGUAAGUUUAUUAAAUAUAU
rnacentral:tRNA from 1 species